rnacentral:rRNA from 1 species
UGGGGGUUAUUGCACAAUGGGCGAAAGCCUGAUGCAGCGACGCCGCGUGGGGGAUGAAGGCUUUCGGGUUGUAAACCUCUUUCGCUAUCGAACAAGGCCCGCUUAGGGUGGGUUGAGGGUAGGUGGAGAAGAAGCGCCGGCUAACUACGUGCCAGCAGCCGCGGUAAUACGUAGGGCGCGAGCGUUGUCCGGAAUUAUUGGGCGUAAAGGGCUUGUAGGCGGCUUGUUGCUCCUGCUGUGAAAACGCGGGGCUUAACUUCGCGCGUGCAGUGGGUACGGGCAGGCUUGAGUGUGGUAGGGGUGACUGGAAUUCCAGGUGUAGCGGUGGAAUGCGCAGAUAUCUGGAGGAACCCCGAUGGCGAAGGCAGGUCACUGGGCCAUUACUGACGCUGAGGAGCGAAAGCAUGGGUAGCGAACAGG